rnacentral:rRNA from 1 species
GUGAGGAAUAUUGGUCAAUGGGCGGGAGCCUGAACCAGCCAAGUCGCGUGAAGGAAGAAGGAUCUAUGGUUCGUAAACUUCUUUUGCAGGGGAAUAAAGUGCAGGACGUGUCCUGUUUUGUAUGUACCCUGAGAAUAAGGAUCGGCUAACUCCGUGCCAGCAGCCGCGGUAAUACGGAGGAUCCGAGCGUUAUCCGGAUUUAUUGGGUUUAAAGGGUGCGUAGGUGGUUUGAUAAGUCAGCGGUGAAAGGUUGCAGCUUAACUGUAAAAAUGCCGUUGAAACUGUCGGACUUGAGUGUAAAUGAGGUAGGCGGAAUGCGUGGUGUAGCGGUGAAAUGCAUAGAUAUCACGCAGAACUCCGAUUGCGAAGGCAGCUUACUAAGCUACAACUGACACUGAAGCACGAAAGCGUGGGGAUCAAACAGGAUUAGAAACCCCAGUAGUCC